rnacentral:rRNA from 1 species
AUUGAACGCUGGCGGCAGGCCUAACACAUGCAAGUCGAGCGGAUGAAGGGAGAUUGCUCCUGGAUUCAGCGGCGGACGGGUGAGUAAUGCCUAGGAAUCUGCCUGGCAGUGGGGGAUAACGUCCGGACACGGGCGCUAAUACCGCAUACGUCCUGAGGGAGAAAGUGGGAGAGCUUCGGACCUCACGCCAUCAGAUGAGCCGAGGUCGGAUUAGCUAGUUGGUGGGGUAAAGGCCUACCAAGGCGACGAUCCGUAGCUGGUCUGAGAGGAUGAUCAGUCACACUGGAACUGAGACACGGUCCAGACUCCUACGGGAGGCAGCAGUGGGGAAUAUUGGACAAUGGGCGAAAGCCUGAUCCAGCCAUGCCGCGUGGGUGAAGAAGGUCUUCGGAUUGUAAAGCACUUUAAGUGGGGAGGAAGGGCAGUAAGUUAAUACCUUGCUGUUUUGACGGUACCAACAGAAUAAGCACCGGCUAACUUCGUG